UGCCUCAGUAACGGCGAGUGAAGCGGCAAGAGCUCAAAUUUGAAAUCUGGCCCCUUUGGGGUCCGAGUUGUAAUUUGCAGAGGAUGCUUCGGGUGCGGUCCCCAUCUAAGUGCCCUGGAACGGGCCGUCAUAGAGGGUGAGAAUCCCGUCUGGGAUGGGCGGCCGCGCCCGUGUGAAGCUCCUUCGACGAGUCGAGUUGUUUGGGAAUGCAGCUCUAAGCGGGUGGUAAAUUUCAUCUAAAGCUAAAUACUGGCCGGAGACCGAUAGCGCACAAGUAGAGUGAUCGAAAGAUGAAAAGCACUUUGAAAAGAGAGUUAAACAGCACGUGAAAUUGUUGAAAGGGAAGCGUUGUCCACCAGACUCGCCCGGGGGGGCUCAGCCGGCACGUGUGCCGGUGUACUCCUCUCCGGGCGGGCCAGCAUCGGUUUGGGCGGCUGGUGAAAGGCCCCGGGAAUGUAACACCCUCCGGGGUGCCUUAUAGCCCGGGGUGCCAUGCAGCCAGCCUGGACCGAGGCCCGCGCUUCGGCGAGGAUGCUGGCGUAAUGGUGGUCAACGGCCCGUCUUGAAACACGGACCAAGGAGUCUAACAUCUAUGCGAGUGUUCGGGUGUCAAACCCGUCCGCGCAGUGAAAGCGAACGGAGGUGGGAGCCCCUCGGGGCGCACCAUCGACCGAUCCUGAUGUCUUCGGAUGGAUUUGAGUAAGAGCAUAGCUGUUGGGACCCGAAAGAUGGUGAACUAUGCCUGAAUAGGGCGAAGCCAGAGGAAACUCUGGUGGAGGCUCGCAGCGGUUCUGACGUGCAAAUCGAUCGUCAAAUUUGGGUAUA
rnacentral:rRNA from 1 species